UGAGAAUUUUUAAAGAAGGCUUCUGACAAGACUUGAUGAGAUGCUACAGCUGACAAGCAUGUGAAAAAGGAUGAAAUAACUUGAGGUCUGGAGUGAACAGUUACAUUCCUGGAUUGUUGAAAGGCCCAUUCUUUACAUGGGAUCAACCAUCUUUGGUGAGGCUGGGUGGAUGAUGCAGUUUCACUUCUAGGUGUUAGGAUUCUCUUUCACACUGGUUUGUCAUGACCUUAAAGUAUUUUAAGUUUCUCCUUUGCUUUGUGUUCACGCCCAAACUCCAAGGGUAGGAUCUACCACAUAGAGGGUGGAGUGGCAUUCCAAUUCCAUUUAUUUUCUGCUGAAGCUGGCACAUUGAAUGAAGAUUUAUAUCUUAAGUGACAGGAUUCAGACGAAACACGACAAACCUGUAAAAUCUGCAACGUGGACGUGUCAAUGCAGAACUUUCCAAUGAACUGGAUGGGACCAGGAAGACAAACCACACACACUGUCACGUUGUGCUGGGCAGCAUGACAGAUCAAAGAGAAUCCCAAGGAAGAGCAAGUCCUUGCUGGCUGCAGUGCACGUGGUGGGGGGUUCAGCACAGACUGCUGUUUGGUUUACGGAUUCAGGUGUGCGUCUAUCUUGGGCCUGCCUUUUUAUGGAAAAAUUUUGUGGAGAUACACUGCACUGACUGGAAAAUUAUUCACUUGUUUUUUAAUCAAAUUUAUCGAGUGGAAGCAUUGGUUAUGAAACUAGUCAUUUCACUGGACUUUAAUCCUGACCUAGUUGCCAACAAUGGGUGGUAAUUAUUAUUAUUUACCAAAGCAUAGAGAGAAUCUGUGUUAAAAGAGCAACCCAGGCAGGCACUGCUUUGGGGAGGGAUACAAGUUUUACCACCUUAGGAGAGAUGAAUUAGUUUUGUGAAACAUCUCUGAUUGUCUUGCUGAAGGACUCCAACCACUGGACAUGAAUAGAAGCGUGCGGCAACUUUGUACUGCAGACAGCAAGUUAAAGCCCCCCGCUCCCCCACGCCCAGGAAAGCUCAGGAGUCAGGGGCCUCAGCGGAGCACACUCCUGACUUUACCACUGUGUGCCAUGGUGCUCCUGACAGCCUGGUUGGCCGUCACUCAUCUAGAAGAAUGAAUGAACCUCGUAUUAAGCGCUCCUCGCUGUUGGUUCAAGUAGAUCUCCUCAGAGUUCUCACUAAUCAGGAUGCUGACCUGUUCCCACGUCUGUACUGGAUUAUCCCAGUCAGCUUCAGCACAGCACCUGCUCACCACCCAGGUGCAAGUCGCUGACCCACAGCUGCAGCCCAUCAGUGGAUAACCACUGGAUAACAGUGUUCCCACCGUCUUUGGCAGAUUUGAUUCCUGGACUCCCACAGAAGGAUUUCAGAGAAGUCUUUGAACAAAUGCAAGAGGCACAAACUUCACCUAACAACUGUUUACUGAAACAUGUGUAACUUCUGUGCCUGGCAUAGGGCUGAGUGCUGAGGGUCUGAAGCCAGACAGGUCCCUGCCCCCAAGGUGCUGUAGUGCACAGCCUGCAGUCAUGGAGCAGGUCUUAGGGCAUGGUUCUUCACUUGUGAGGGACUCCACAGCUGUGAGCACCUAAUGAGAACCUGCUGAUCAAGUGAAUGGGGCCGACCAGUAUCAGGAUGGCUGCUACUGGCAUCUGUGCAACUCGUCUCCACAGUGAAGAAGAUGAUGGACUCAGAUCCUCUUUGUUUUUGCUCUAUUUGUGCUUCUGUACAUGAGAUACCGGUAACCCUGGAGCAUGAAGGCCUUUCCUAAGGAGUACAUAAAGCCACAGAAAAGAAUGCAUCUUUCUUAGAAUGUCCAUAUCAUUCAAUGAUGAAUUAUGGAAAAGACUUUUAUAUUGAACUCAAAAUAUGCCCUGCGACAUAACAUGAAAUUAAAUCACAAUUUCAAAAUAAAAUCUAAGAUUUUAAAGAAGUGUCAUAUUUGCCGCCUAAGGCCACUUUGGGCCAUGUGCCCUGAUCCCAGGGAUAAACCUUCAUUCUGCAUCUCAGGAGAAUCCUUCAUUGUAGAGCUAGGACAAGGAUUUCCUGGUCUAGAUAGUGACUGGUUACCUACCACCUUACAGGCUCUCCCUCGAUGCCUUCCUCCAACUCUACUAUCUAACAAUGAAGUCUAACGUGGGGGAAUCCCACUAAAAUCCUAAACCAGAGGAAACAAGGUCAACUGCAGAAAUUCAGGCACUGUCUGCCCCGGUCCUUCUACAAUCCAGCCCGUGCAGUUCCCGUCACAGCAAGUGCUUCCUCUGUCAGAGCAGACAAACUGACUGAAGCCACAGCCGGAAGCACGCUGACCACAAGUGCUAAAGUUCUGGUUCAACUGAAGAGGCUGUUCUAAGAAAGACUACUGAGGUAAUCAGUCACCUUCCUCAGAGAAAGUCUGCUCAGGUAGUCUUGUUUAGUUUACCACGUAAACAAUGGAACAUUUAUUGUUGAAUCCUUUAUUCUUUUAUAGCCUGAUGGGAGACUUGACAUUUUUUGGUGGGGGCAUGACGGACAAAGAGACCUGGGGCUUCUCUUUCCUUCAUAGUCCCCUCUGAGGAGAUCAAAGAAGGUAAACACUGUCCUUUCGAUCAGACAGCAAGUGUGUUUCUACUCAGCUUACCAAGCAGGAGGACACACCAGGGUUUCCCAGAAUGCCUAGGGACACCCGGGAUGAGAGCGCAGAGGAGGCAGGGGAGGACUGAAGAUCAUCCUUUAACUUUCCAAAAGCAGGAAUAUAGGACACUUAAUAAACCUUAAAUCACUUGCCCCUUUUGUAGGGAGGGGUGAUUAUUUUUUACUGAACGGGACUAAAAUAAUCCGUAGAGCUCACUUUUUUAAGAUCACAGCAAAAAAUAGAACCCCAAAUCUGUUGCUUUCGGUGAACAACGGUGAUAAUGAUCUCUAUGCUCAGUGACUCUAAAAGCUAUUUAUAGCAAUUAUUAUACAUUCAGAAAAAACUGAACUAAAAAAUGAAUCCCAGGUAUGGACAUGUUAAAAAGAUCAUGGGGUUGGGGAGAGGGAGGGAUGAAUAAAUAGGGGGAGCACAGAGGGUUUUUAGAGCAGUGAAGCUAUUCUGUUUGCUGCUGUAAUGGUGGAUACAUGGCAUUAUACAUGUGUCAAAACCUAUAGAAGGUACAACACCAAGAGUGAAUCCUAAUGUAAAUUCUGGUCUGUAGCUAAUAAUGUGUCAUCUUGGUUCAUCAGUGGAAACAAACAUACCACGGUAAUGCAACAUGUUAAUAACAGGAGAAACUGGGUGGGAGUGAGGCAGGGAGGGGGGAGUGUACAGGAACUCUGUGCUUUCUGCUCUGUUUUUAUGUAAACCUAAAAGUGCUGUAAAAAAUAAAGUCUAUUAAAAACAAUAGAUCCCACACCUGGAAUUUGUUGGCCGGUCCCUAAUUCAAGGAUCCACACUUCCCUCUGUUCCCAAAGUAGAGUGAACUCAAACCACUUACGGUAUCCCUGCAUUUCACAGGUGUGUUUCUACAACAGCCUGUGACAUGAGUUUGUCAUCAGGAAGAGUCAUAGCCUGAAUCAAAAGCUCAGGACUUGAAGUCACAGUGCCGCAGUGUGUUAUAGACAGUGCAC